AACCCUUGUCUUAGUUGCCAUCAUUCAGUUGGGCACUCUAAAGAGACUGCCGGUGUCAAACCGGAGGAAGGUGGGGAUGACGUCAAGUCCUCAUGGCCUUUAUGACCAGGGCUACACACGUACUACAAUGGCCGGUACAAAGGGCAGCCACUUAGCGAUAAGGAGCCAAUCCCGUAAAGCCGGUCUCAGUCCGGAUUGGAGUCUGCAACUCGACUCCAUGAAGUUGGAAUCGCUAGUAAUCGCAGAUCAGCACGCUGCGGUGAAUACGUUCCCGGGCCUU
rnacentral:rRNA from 1 species